rnacentral:rRNA from 1 species
UACGUAGGGGGCUAGCGUUGUCCGGAAUCAUUGGGCGUAAAGCGCGUGUAGGCGGCCCGGUAAGUCCGCUGUGAAAGUCCAGGGCUCAACCCUGGAAAGCCGGUGGAUACUGUCGGGCUAGAGUCCGGAAGAGGCGAGUGGAAUUCCUGGUGUAGCGGUGGAAUGCGCAGAUAUCAGGAGGAACACCGAUGGCGAAGGCAGCUCGCUGGGACGGUACUGACGCUGAGGCGCGAAAGCGUGGGGAGCGAACAGG